rnacentral:rRNA from 1 species
CAAUAGCGUAUAUUUAAGUUGUUGCAGUUAAAAAGCUCGUAGUUGGAUUUCGGAUGGGAUUUGCCGGUCCGUCGUUACGAUGUGCACUGGCCAGUCCUAUCUUGUUGUCGGGGACUAGCUCCUUGGAUUCACUUCCUGGGACUAGGAGCUGACGAGGUUACUUUGAGUAAAUUAGAGUGUUCAAAGCAAGCCUACGCUCUGAAUACAUUAGCAUGGAAUAACACGAUAGGACUCUGGCUUAUCUUGUUGGUCUGUGAGACCAGAGUAAUGAUUAAGAGGGACAGUCGGGGACAUUCGUAUUUCAUUGUCAGAGGUGAAAUUCUUGGAUUUAUGAAAGACGAACUUCUGCGAAAGCAUUUGUCAAGGAUGUUUUCAUUAG